rnacentral:rRNA from 1 species
GAUGAACGCUAGCUACAGGCUUAACACAUGCAAGUCGAGGGGAAACGACAUCGAAAGCUUGCUUUUGAUGGGCGUUGACCGGCGCACGGGUGAGUAACGCGUAUCCAACCUGCCCACCACUUGGGGAUAACCUUGCGAAAGUAAGACUAAUACCCAAUGAUAUCUCUAGAAGACAUCUGAAAGAGAUUAAAGAUUUAUCGGUGAUGGAUGGGGAUGCGCCUGAUUAGCUUGUUGGCGGGGUAACGGCCCACCAAGGCUACGAUCAGUAGGGGAUCUGAGAGGAAGGUCCCCAGCAUUGGAACUACGACACGGACCAAAGUCCUACUGGGGGCAGCAGUGAGGAAUAUUGGUCAAUGGACGGGAGUCUGAACCAGCCAAGUAGCGUGCAGGAUGACGGCCCUAUGGGUUGUAAACUGCUUUUAUAAGGGAAUAAAGUGAGUCUCGUGGGACUUUUUGCAUGUACCUUAUGAAUAAGGACCGGCUAAUUCCGUGCCAGCAGCCGCCGUAA